rnacentral:rRNA from 1 species
AUGCACAUCUAUGUCAAGAAUCCGACCGGCAGGACGAUCCGCCUCAGGGUCCAUAAAUCAGACACCUUGUAUAGCGUCAAGGCGAAGAUACAAGAGCAAUACCGCCUCGUCUUUGACGGGACCCAACUAGAGGACAGUUGCACGCUAGCCGACUAUGAAAUCGAGCAUGGAUCCACGAUCGACCUCCAAGAGAAGAUGCAGAUAUUCGUGACGGAGAUGCCGGCUGCUAGGACCAUGGCCCUUGAGGUCGACAGCCACGACACCAUUGACAGCGUCAAGGCCAAGAUCGAGUACAUGGAAGGCUUCCCCAAGGGCCAGCAGUGCCUCAUCUUCGCCAACAAACGGCUGGAGGACGACAACCUCACCUUGGCUGAGUACAACGUCUGGAAGGACUCCACCCUCCUUCUCGUCCUCCAGCCAUGUAGUCCGCGAGAAGGCAUGGGUAUGAUGCGCAUCUUCGUGAGAUAA